GCAGUGGUAGCUCAGCUGGAUAGAGUAAUCGGCUACGAACCGAUCGGUCGGGGGUUCGAAUCCCUCUCACUGCACCA
rnacentral:tRNA from 1 species